GAGCCAGAAGCUCCUUGAGCCAAAAUGGCUACGGACCCCCCCCGCUACGUAAC
rnacentral:ribozyme from 1 species